UACGUAGGGUCCGAGCGUUGUCCGGAAUCAUUGGGCGUAAAGGGUACGUAGGCGGUUAAGUAAGUCAGAAGUGAAAGCCCAUAGCUCAACCAUAGUACGCUGUUGAAACUGCUAAACUUGAGGUAUAGAAGGGUAAGUGGAAUUCCUAGUGUAGCGGUGAAAUGCUUAGAUAUUAGGUGGAAUACCAGUGGCGAAGGCGGCUUUCUGGCUAUGAACUGACGCUGAGGUACGAAAGCGUGGGUAGCAAACAGG
rnacentral:rRNA from 1 species